CUCUGAGUCUCCACUGACCAAAGACAAUACUGGACAAGCAACCAUCAAGCAGACAAACCAUGAAGACACUUUUAGGAAGAAGCCUGAUUGUGAAAGCAAUGCAGGGUUGUGUUAUCAAAGCAAUAAAUAUAGAGGAAGGAUUAUUGUCAGUCCUGGGGGAUCUAAACAGCAUAGAAGGGAGUGAACAAGCUGGGGUGUGAUCUUGAAUUCAAAGAGUCUCCCUUACUACUGUAACAGAUAUUCAGACAUGUACAUGUUUGCUCACCAAAUAUUUGCAGAGAAUAAAAAUCUUGUGACUACUUGGCAACUACGUAUUCACUCACAGGUGCAAACCCUGAGUGUCUUGUUCGAGCCCUUCUUCUGCUUAUCAAAAUUUCAGUUAUUCAACCAAGGAGCAUGAACGAUACCAGGAGGAGACUAAUCACACACCACCUUUCUAUGUCAAGUGAAGCUCUGCGUUCCCACUCUGCUUUCGAGAUUUCUCUGCUUUGUCCUUCAGUUGUGAUAUAGAAAGAAAAGUUUAAAAAUUAUUUAAUAUAAACAAAAAGAAGACAGGCAAUAUGGUGAGAAAAAUAAUACGACUCUAAUGCACUGAAACUGUAUAGUACUGAAGGAGUCAAAGGAUGGGAAGACAGCUGUAAUUCUCUGUGAUCUAGUUACUGAUAAGCCCUAACAGUGGUGAAACAGCCAUCUUUCUUCAAUCAGUGAUGCCUCCUGUUAGUUAGAGCACAGCCCAAGACUCCUUCAGGUUUUCCAGGUACUUUUUUUUAAUCCAAUUAAACUCAAAGACAUCACUUCUCUGCACCUUGUACAACUCCUUUGUUGCUGUCUUUGCAAAGUAUUUUUUGGGUGUAAAUUUAACCAGGAUCAAAUUUGCAAAUGACACUAAAUUUUGAGGGGUAACAAACACACAGGAGGACAAAACUAAACUGCAAAGUGAGAUGGAAAAUGGGGGCUGCAGGGAACAAGCAGAGAUCCACAUCUACAGUGAAAUAAGCAACAAAGAUACAAGGUGAAGAGAAAUAACCAUGCAGCUGCGUUGGUUGCAUUUAAAUGAAGUUAUUUUCAUCUGGUCUCCAGUAGAGUGAAGAUGAGGAAUCAUAACCAGACAGUUAGGAGGGGAGGUGUCCCAUAAAAGGAUCUCAAGAAGUGGUGUACAGAAUAAAAAAGUUUGAUGACACCUGUUCUAAAGUGCAAGCCAGCAUCAAUCCAAGCUUCUCCACACUGUACCACCAAUGUGCUUUAACCCUGACUUCGAGGGAUCACCCUGAGAUGUAAGGGAACAAUUCCUCCUCCACAGCCAUUCAGUCUCUGCUCAUUGGGGAAUUCAAGGCAGAUCCUUCAAACGCCAAGCCACACAUUUGUAUGCAUCUCUGAAACUGAACGCAGAGAGCAUUAGGCUCCCCAUGUCUACCCUUAAGCUAGAAGGCUGGACCCUAUGACAGAGACUUACAUUAUAGGUACUCUCACUGCAGGUCUGUUUGCUGUAUUUGUAAUAUAUUUGCUAAUGUAUGUGUUACUUGAUCAA